AUAAUAAAUCAAAUAUGGACUAUAUAUAUGGUUAUAUAGUUAUAUGCGUAUAUAUAUGUAUAUUAAUCCAAAAAUAUAUAAGAAAAAAAAUAAAAUAAGAGAUGGGUUGGUGGUAUUUGGUGGGUGGAGGAGGGUUUCUGGUGCAAAUCGAUAAAAAACAUCCAACAAAAAAAUUGAAAAACCACAUCGUGAGUGAGUGGUAGCACUUUGAGCACACUCUAUCUUUGUCUUUCAGUGAUUACGCUCAUGUGCUUCUCAGCACAGGACGUUUCCUACACCCGAUACAUCUUGCGGCUGUUGUUACAUCGUGGGAUCGAACCUUGUCCGGCGAGAUGGAAUGUACCAAAGAAGAUCAUAUAGGGUGCAGGGUUUUAGGUUAUGAGUGAGUGCAGGAGAUUGGAAUCACCUGCUAAUUUACCUAAAAUUGUAUAUGGAGAAGAAAUGAUAAAUAAAUAGAAUAAUAUCACGAAAAUUUAAUUUGAAAUUUUAAAAAUAUAUAAUUAAAAUAAUAUUAAAUAAAAUAUAGGGAGAAUUAUAUUUGAGAAAAAUAAUUUUAAUUUUCCGAUUAAAGAAAUUAAAAUGAUUAUACAAUAUUUAAAUGUGUUAAAAAAAUAAAAAAUUAGUUUGACUAAUAAUAAAAAAAGUUUAAUUUAUUAUUAUUUUUAUAAAUUUUAUUAAUUAGUUAAAAUUAUUUUUAAAAAUGUAAAAAUAUGGUAUAAUUAUUUUAAUUUUUAUAGAAAAUAAAUAUAUAUAUAUAUAAGUAUUUGAAAUAAGAAUAAAAUAAAAUAAAAUAAAUUGUGAUAAAAUAAUUAUAUUUUCUUAUAUUUAAAUAAUAAAUAUUUUCCGUUUUUAAGUAGAUUUUGAACUGAAUCAGCUUUUUUUUGUCUUUUUGGGGGAAAGGUAGUGGCAUUUCCGUCAAUUUUACAGCGGAACCCUAAAUUCAAAAAUAUGACCGUUGCAGCUUUUCGAGAUGAGAUCUCUGUGCACCUUAUAUAAACCAUUUCAGAUCAACUCUUGAGCAUCGUCAAAGAAUUCUGAUUGAAUAAUCUCUCUGCUCUAUAUAUCUUCUUCUCGUGCUCUGCAAAUUAUAUUUCUGAUAUAUGCACAUUACAUGCUUAUUGUCUUCUGCAAAAUCUUUAUUUCCUAUUUUCAUUAGUUUAAUCUAACCAUUUCUUGCAGGUGUAAUUAGUUUUUUUUUUUUUUUUUUUUUUUUAUCUCUUUCAAUUCUCUAUUGUUCUUGUUUUCUUGGUCUUUUUUUUUUCUUUUUCUAACGCCAUGGAUGUAGGAUCAGUCAAAGUUUCUUCUGAUUUGAAGGUGCAGUCUAGAUGCCCACUUCAAGAUCAGUUUCUUGUUAAAAGGAAUUCUAAGGAAAAUGUAUGCUCAACUCCCUUCCUUCCAUCGAAUUUAUGUGAAUCUUGCAGUUUUAUUUUAUUUUCCUUCGUCAAUUAGGGUUUUAGGGUUUUGAUUUUUUGUAGAUCAAUCUCUUUUGGUAAUUUAGGGUUUUGACAUUGUAGCAUUAGAUUCGAUAUCACCGAUUUGUUGUAUUUCAAGAUCUUGAAUCUGUUUUCGAUUUUUGCAGUUGGAUAGAUUCAUACCGAAUAGAUCAGCCAUGGACAUGGACUACGCGCGAUUCAUGCUGACAGCAGGAGGGAGGAAAGGGAAGGAGAAUCCGGCCGGAGGAGGAGAAGCGGCGGUGAGCUCCCCAUCGAGUGAUGCCUACCAGAAGCAACUGGCGGAGGCCUUCAACAUGAACCGAACUCGAAUCCUGGCUUUCAAGAACAAACCACCAGCAUCUUCCGAAUUGAUCCCCAAUGAACAUAUAUCUUCUUCUUUUCAACCUGCCAAACCAACAAAACCUCGUAGAUACAUUCCCCAGGUGCUUUCAUCGUUCUUUUGCAUAAAAGUUACUUUUCUUUCUAAUAAUGAAUGGCAAAUUGAUUUACAUAAACAUCCAUUAUACAGACAUCGGAGAGGACAUUAGAUGCCCCUGACAUCGUGGAUGAUUUCUACCUGAAUCUACUGGAUUGGGGCAGUGCUAAUGUUCUUGCUAUAGCCUUGGGGAGCACGGUGUAUCUGUGGGAUGCUUCCACCGGCUCCACAUCGGAACUGGUCACCGUUGACGACGAAGAUGGGCCUGUGACAAGCCUCAGCUGGGCUCCGGACGGUCGACAUAUCGCCGUCGGCUUGAACAAUUCCCGUGUCCAGCUGUGGGAUUCCGCGUCCAAUCGACAGGUAUAUUGUUCUCCCUCCCCAAAAUAAUAUUGAAACUGAAACAACCAUGGGUAGAUACGGUUGAAUAGUAAUAUACAUAGAGAAGAAGAGUAGCUUCGUUGGGAUGGAUUAAGAAUGGUGUCCAAAUCGAAUAGAAUCCAGUCCCUAUGAUUCAAAUCCAAAUUGUGAAUUGUACGAGGUGAGUAGUGUUAAGAACGAACGUCUUGUUGAGGUGAUGAUUCUGUUUAUUGCGUGGAAAAGAAUAGUCAUAUACAUGGAAAAGAAGAAUAGCUUCGUUGGGAAGGAUUAAAAUGGUAAUUAAAUGGAAUAGAAUCCAAUCCCUAUUAUUCAAAUCCAAAUUGUGAAUUGUACAAGGUGAGUAAGAGUAAGAGUAGUGUUAAGAACGAACGUCUUGUUGAGGUGAUGAUUCUGUUUAUUGCGGGGAAAAGAAUAGUCAUAUCCAUGGAAAAGAAGAAUAGCUUCGUUGGGAAGGAUUAAAAUGGUAACUAAAUGGAAUAGAAUCCAAUCUCUAUUAUUCAAAUCCAAAUUGUGAAUUGUACAAGGUGAGUAAGAGUGUUAUGAAUGAACGUGUUCUGAUAUGAUGAUUCUGUUUAAUGCAGUUGAGAACUUUGAGAGGCGGGCACAACCAUGGAAGCCGAGUGGGGUCAUUGGCAUGGAACAAUCAUAUCCUGACAACCGGAGGGAUGGAUGGUCAAAUCAUAAACAAUGAUGUUAGAGUAAGGUCCCAUAUUGUGGAAACUUACAGAGGACACAGACAAGAGGUUUGUGGGCUGAAAUGGUCAGGGUCAGGCCAACAACUAGCAAGCGGAGGCAAUGACAAUCUUCUUCACAUUUGGGACAGAUCAAUGGCGUCCUCCAAUUCUGCAACCCAGUGGCUACACAGACUAGAAGAGCAUACAUCUGCAGUGAAGGCUCUGGCAUGGUGCCCUUUCCAAGGGAACCUUCUAGCAUCCGGAGGUGGCGGAGGAGACAGGUGCAUUAAGUUUUGGAACACCCAUACCGGAGCUUGCUUGAACACGGUGGAUACAGGGUCCCAGGUAUGUGCAUUGCUGUGGAACAAGAACGAGAGAGAAUUGCUUAGCUCACAUGGGUUCACUCACAACCAGCUUACUCUGUGGAAAUAUCCAUCAAUGGUGAAAAUUGCGGAGUUAACUGGUCAUACAUCGAGGGUGCUGUACAUGGCGCAGAGUCCAGAUGGGUGCACGGUGGCGUCGGCAGCAGGGGACGAAACUCUGAGGUUCUGGAAUGUUUUUGGGGUGCCGGAAACGGCGGCUAAAGCUGCACCGAAGCAGAACCCGGAGCCAUUUUCGCAUUUGAAUCGGAUCCGCUGAAUAGAGGGAAGGAAGAAGAAGGCUGCUGUGAAUUGAAUGUAAAAAAUUUGUGCUGAAAGAGAUUGAAGAAGAUAUUCUAUAUGAUUUUGAAUAAUGAAUGUAAAAAAAUAAUGGUUAAUGGAUAGAAAGAAGGCUGAAAGUAGGCCUUUUGCCGUGGAUGUAGUCACAUACACCCAUGUGACGAACCACGUAAAUCUCUGAGUCUCUCUAUUCUUUGUCUCUUAAAGAACUCUCAUUUACUUUCUAUAUAGUAUAUAUAUAUAUAUUGAUCAAGAACUAUAUGUUGAAUUAUAUAUAUUGUAUUGGUAAAAAAAUGAAUUCAAAUUGAUAAUUGUUGGCAAAACUUCUAAAAAAUGUACUUGUUUUGAUUGUAUAAACUACUUUCAUUUUAUUUCUCCAGUUUUUGAUUUUGGUUUUUGGCAACAUCUUCUUAUAUACUUAAUUGUCUCAAAAAUAGUGUUGGGAUGGAAAGGAUCCUGAUAAAACAUUAGAUUUGGGAUGAUAUGAUUACAGAGACCUGUAAUUGUUGACUCAGGAUUCAGAUAAGAGAUAGACACAUGUACAUUGAUGAUGCAUGAACUCAGAAGAAAAAUCAUUUAUAAAUGUCUAAACCAGAAUCAGUGUGAUAAAAAAAUGGGAACUAGAAACUGGGGGAAGAUACACAAAUCAUCUAUGAAAAACUACUAAUCAAAACUCCACCCACUUAACAAAAAUAGACUUCUAACUAGUUUUACUUUUUUUCCUUUCCUCCCUUUGUCGAAACUUUCUUUCCGGGCUUCUUACGGAUAUUCUUCUUCGGUUUCAAUUUAUUCGAGGCUGAUGAAGAUUUUGCUCCCUCUUUAUUUCUUCUGUUCUUCUUCUCUUUCUUCACGUUGUACAUAUUAAUGGCCUGUUUCAAAAACAUUAUGAUGUGGGUUUGAGUCCGUUUCUACUUGGAUUUUUUAAACUCGGGAGCAUUUCGUCAACCACCAGAAAGAAAAUCCUAAAUCUAAUGCAUGCUUACCUUAUCAACAUUAAGUAUUUCAUGGGAGUUUUUGGAAAUUAGCUUGCUCAGAACUUUAUCUGUCUGCUCCUUUUCUCGGGAGCCUAUUCCUGAUCCUUCCACAACAGGUAGAAACUGCAUGAAGAUAAAAAAGGACAAGAGGAGUCAAGUACAAGCAAUGACAGGAUUUCAGCAUUAUACAGUUGAUCUUUGGUGUUCAUGUACAAACCUUGCGGUGCUUUCCUUGCUUUUUAAGAAGCUUUUCUCCUGGCAACUUCUUGUCAAAUUUUCCACCACUAGCAGUUGCAGUAGCAGCUAACCCUGCUACAUUCCGCAGUUCAUCCUUUGUAAUUUUCUUGGAUGGGGCCUCUGUACCAGUUAUGGGCAAUGCUGUGGCAGCUAGUUGAACAUGGCUGCAGACAAUAGUUCACUCAGAUUGUGUUAUGCACUAUGAAAUAUAAAAGGAGCAAUACUAAAUGAAAUAUUUCAAACAGAAACCUAAGGAGAAAUGUAGUUGAUCUACCCAAACAUCAACCAACAGGGCAUGCUACAUGAGCAACCAAUAAGGCCUGCUUUAUGAGCAUGGAACUUCCAUAAAGCUCAUUAUUAGAAAAAAAAAAAAAACAUCAUAGCUCUUCACAGACCACCAGUUAUUUAAAUUUAACGAAUAAUCACAGGGCAAGUCACUAAUAUCCAAAAGCAUCUAUAGGCAUAGUCUAAAUCACACGAUUUUCAGACUUUUGAAGCAAAGCCAUAUCUAAAAUUAAUAGUGGUGAAAAAGGAAUCUACAAGACUGAAAAUGAAAAAGUUGAGAUUUGUUUAUUGAAAUCGAUAAGUUAUGCUGAAUUGAUUCAGACUGCUGAGUGAAACCUGUGCAUGAAGCAAAAGAAAAUUAAAACUUAUAUUUCAUGAGAACAAAUAACCCUUUAUAGGAAAAUGGGCAACAAAACCUUGGCAAAGCACCAACUUUUGCUGCUGCUUUCAAGUUCUGCAACCGAUUCUGCUGUUGCUUUCCAACCCGCUUUUUCUUUUCUGCCUGUCUCAUAGCAAAAGGAUCUACUCCUGGCUCUGUAAAAAAUGGAAAAUAUGACCCAUAAGGCAAGCUCCUUGGAAAGGUAUACAUGCUUCAAUCUAUCACCUUUUUUUUCUGGAGGAAAACAUAGUAUCUUCACAAGUAACCAAAUAGGCAAGACACGUAUACAAGGCCUCAUAUAAAAUCAGCGUUUAGUUUAUAACAUAUUGCUACUAUUUCUUUCAAAUUAUUUUUUUUUGAAAUAGCUAUUCUUUCACAUCACAAAAUACAUUUGAAGGCAAUAUAGGUAAUAAAAGGAUAUAGAUAAGGCUAAAAGAGCUUCUGCAGUCACUAACCAUCAGUUUCCUUGGCAUCAAUAAUAGGUACAUCUUUAUCAUCAUUAACGCGAUCAUAACCAUGGCGGCGUUUCCAUUGGGCGGUUUGCUCAUCCCAGACCACCUUAUCCUUCUUAUGCUUCUUUAUACCUGUACAAUAUUUCGAGAUGAUUGACAAAGCACAUGGGUUAAACCACAUAUAAAAAUUUAAUAUCAGUUAGACUGACAGUCUAUAUAUGAAAAAUCCCAGCACCAGUAAAUUUACAAUAAAUUUCCUCAAAAAAAAUGAAAAGAAGAGAAAAAGAAUCAAAUAGGCAAGUUGUUCACAGACUGAAUAAUAUGAUUGACUUACCUCUUUUUUUGGCGAAUUCUUCCCAUUUAGUAGGAGGUUUAGGCUUUGGCAGCUGGAAAACAAAAUCAAACAUUUGAGUUUUCAUAAUAAAAUUAAGAAAAUCCAUGCCAUUCUUUUAGCUUAUAGGAUCUCCUAUCCUGGUUUCCAUGGAAUCUCACCAAUUAAUUGUUUUCUUGUAUGUGUGACAUGUUACAUUUCAAAUAUAUGUUUCAUGGUAAAAUGCUAGAGAGCUACUGUAAGGCACUUCCCAAACCCUAGCCUCUUGGCCAUUCACAAAAGGAGACUCUGAACUAAAGUUCAAAAAUUUGACAGACAGCUCCAUUUGAAGCCGCCAUUUAAAUAAUCAUGUACAACUCUACUAUAUUUUACAAAAAGAGCACGAGAGCACCAGAUGUUUGAAACACCAGAAACCCAGAGUGCCAACAGUGUUCCUCAUUAAAUUUGGCUUAUUGUCUGGUGUUCAUUGAGAAAUAAUUAAGUACUUCCAGCAACAGCUGUUGAGAAGUAAAAUGUUUACAGAAUGGACAAACAUACCUAAUACCCAACCGCUAUCUCCCAGGAGAAAAAAAGAAGAAAAGAGAGGAAGAUGAGAGAUAUAAGUAAUUAUGGCUAAAAAGAUGUACAUACAGGCUUCUCUCUAGGCACUUUCGUUGUUGGUGGAGGCAACUUAGCAAGCGGACCAUCUAUGUCUUCAGUUGCAGGCAAGUUAAAAAGACCAUCUGCAAUUGCUUGUACUAGCUUAGUUCCUUCCUUUAAGCAUUCCUUUACAAGCUCCUCCCUAAAUCAGAAUGAAGUUCAUAAAAAUAACCGAUACUAAAGCAAAUUCUCCAUGGAACAAAAUUAUGAUCUUGUGCCAAAAACAUAGAACUUUAAUAAUUACAUACUACUAUUUGAAAAGGAAAUUCAAACGCAGAGAGUGGAAUGGGUGAAAUUUGCAUGUAGCCACAUUCAAAUCUUUACAUUAUAUUCCCCUCUAAAAACAAAAAACCCCAAUUUGGUUCUAGGGUGAUUAGCUACAAAAAGCAGACAGAAACUCUGUCUUAGCAUGUUCAGCAACAGGCAUGAAGAUAACAUUAUCGAAAUUUUUAGCAAAUCUUCUUCUAAUGGUCUAAGAGACAAGUUUUAGCUUCCAAGUAACUUAACCGAAAUAACAAAAUUUGCAGAACAAAACCAGUAGAGCCUUAAGCCUUUCUAUAUGCUAGUAAUAUCCUACCAAAGCAACAUCACCGAGUUCCAAGAAAAAUUAACUAAAUACUCCACAAAGAUACAUACAGAUGGAGAAAAGCAUAUAAACAAACCUGGAAGAAGGUAGAGAAGGGAAGUGGUGAUAAGGGUCGAAAGCCAUGAGAUUGCCGAGGUCUAUCUGGUAAGACUUUUCAGUCUCCAUCUCCUCUUUCCCCAUGUUUUAGCUCUCUUAUUUAUCUCUCAGCUCUUCUUUCCUUAGCGACCUAAUAAGAGAGUGAAAGAAGGAGUAAGCAAUUAUGAGUCAAAGUCGCUGGCCCGACGGUGCUGUGGGCUAGAAGAAAUGGCAACGGGAGGAACCCUAGCCGCUGGGAGGCGCGCGACUGGUAAGAAAAGAAGAGGAGGGUGAUGGAGAAGAUGGCUUGUCUUCUGCGCGUGGUAGUGACGGACUUGCCGCUGGCGUUAGGGUUCCAGGGUCUUUUGCUUGCUAUUUUACCUUUAUUUAUUUAUUUUUUUUAAAAAAUAAAGUUAAUAAUUUACUUUAAUAAAAAUAUUAAUUUUUAUAUUUUUACAAAAAAAAAACUUAUAAAAAAUUAUUUUUGACGUAAAAUUAAUUUUUCUUUUUAUAUUUUUUUAAUUGAAAUGGUUACAAAUUACCCAUUGGAGGCCCAUUAGAUGCUCAUUGGAGGCCCAAUAGAGGCCUGUUGAAGGCCCAUUACAUGCCCGUUGAAGGCCCAUUAACCAGGCCCAUUAAAGGCCCGCCAUAGGCCCAUCACAGGCCCAUUCUAUUAUCAUUACAGGCCCACUAAAAGGCCCAUUGAAGGCUUAUUAAAGGCCUCAAAUACAAUAUAUGACCUACAACGUCUGCGUAAUUUGAGCCGUUUUAUGAGGCCCAAUAAACUUAUGUGCCUGCGUUAGAUUAAGCAAGGAAUUAAGCCAUGAGCAAUGAAGAAACCAGCAAAAGCGACGUCGUCGUGCUUUGGAGGAAUCCCCACGUCUUUGAUUUUCUCGUAGUGAUGGCAGCCAGAAUUUUUCUCUUGGUCGGGGGAUUCAAAAUCCAGUCUUUAGCAGCCAUUCAAAAUAUUGGUGGCUUCAAUAUCAGCUUUGGGAUUCUCUUUAAUUUUUAAUUUUCUUUUUCUUCUUUUAUCCUCUUCAGAUGGGUUUUUUUUUUUCAGAUAAUUCUCUUACUUAAUCCCGAUUCCUGAUAAGGGUGAGUCCGUAGUUUUCAUAUUUUUAAUGGAUAUUGUAUGAACUUCUCAAUUUCAUCUCGUUAAAAAAAUAUAUAUAGAGAGAGAGGGAAGAAAUGAAACUGUGCGAUUGCUGAAUUGUCUGUUUGGAGGGUGAUUUCGUGAUUUGAUGGGUUUUUUUUAGCGUGUUACGUUGGAAAAUAUCUCAUGAUCAUUAGCUGGGUAUAUGUGUAGGACUGGCUGCGAUUCUCCGCUUUAGUUUUCUGUUUGGUUGAUCAGAAAGUAGAAGUUAUGUGUUUGCUCGAUUGCCUCUUUGAAGGGUGAUUUCAUAAUUAGAUAUGUUUUAACGUGUUAUGCUGGUUAAUAUGUCAUGAUCUUGGACUGGCUACCUAUGUGGGACUGGCUGCAAUUCUCUGGUUUGGAUUUCUGUUUGAUUUCCUGCAAAAUGAAAGUUCUGGGUUUUGCCGAAUUGCCUCUUUGAAGGGCGACUUUAUGUGUUUAGUGUGCUAUGGUAGAUUUAUCUCAUGAUCAUGAACUUGGUAUCUUUGUAGGACUAGCUGCAAUACCAUGAUCUGAUUUCAUGUUUGGUUGCUCAGAAAAUUAUUGAUUUCUUUUCUUUUCUUUUCUUUUUUGUGNNNN
rnacentral:lncRNA from 1 species